rnacentral:sRNA from 1 species
UUCGCUCUGCACUUCUCCUCGCUGCUGCCACGUGAGAAAGGAUGUGUUUGCUUCCCCUUCUGCCGUGAUUGUUUCCUGAGGCCUCCCCCCCAUGCUGAACUGCAACCCCAUUCCAGCUGCCAUUGAAGAAAUGCGCGGUGGUGGGAAAUGGUGGGAUUCUGAAGAAGAGUGGCUGUGGCCGUCAAAUAGAUGAAGCAAAUUUUGUCAUGCGAUGCAAUCUUCCUCCUUUGUCAAGUGAAUACACUAAGGAUGUUGGAUCCAAAAGUCAGUUAGUGACAGCUAAUCCCAGCAUAAUUCGGCAAAGGUUUCAGAACCUUCUGUGGUCCAGAAAGACAUUUGUGGACAACAUGAAAAUCUAUAACCACAGUUACAUCUACAUGCCUGCCUUUUCUAUGAAGACAGGAACAGAGCCAUCUUUGAGGGUUUAUUAUACACUGUCAGAUGUUGGUGCCAAUCAAACAGUGCUGUUUGCCAACCCCAACUUUCUGCGUAGCAUUGGAAAGUUCUGGAAAAGUAGAGGAAUCCAUGCCAAGCGCCUGUCCACAGGACUUUUUCUGGUGAGCGCAGCUCUGGGUCUCUGUGAAGAGGUGGCCAUCUAUGGCUUCUGGCCCUUCUCUGUGAAUAUGCAUGAGCAGCCCAUCAGCCACCACUACUAUGACAACGUCUUACCCUUUUCUGGCUUCCAUGCCAUGCCCGAGGAAUUUCUCCAACUCUGGUAUCUUCAUAAAAUCGGUGCACUGAGAAUGCAGCUGGACCCAUGUGAAGAUACCUCACUCCAGCCCACUUCCUAGGGACAAUGGAAGAAGAAAGGACUGAACCAGGGUAUUUUUGUUAGGUUUUCUAUGUGACUCCAAGAGGGAAUGGUCAAGUUGUUU